GGAUACUGACACGGGACACGGAUACGACACGACACGGAUACGCGGAUACGUGAUUUUUCAAAAAAGUUCAGCCCAAGUCAGACUUGUUCAACCCAUUCCAAGAAAAGCCCAGCCCCACACUGUAGAAGAGGAGUCCUAUGUGGG